GACGAACGCUGGCGGCGUGCUUAACACAUGCAAGUCGAACGGAAAGGCCCUGCUUUUGUGGGGUGCUCGAGUGGCGAACGGGUGAGUAACACGUGAGUAACCUGCCCUUGACUUUGGGAUAACUUCAGGAAACUGGGGCUAAUACCGGAUAGGAGCUCCUGCUGCAUGGUGGGGGUUGGAAAGUUUCGGCGGUUGGGGAUGGACUCGCGGCUUAUCAGCUUGUUGGUGGGGUAGUGGCUUACCAAGGCUUUGACGGGUAGCCGGCCUGAGAGGGUGACCGGACGCGUUGGGACUGCAAUACUGCCCAAUCUCCUACGGGGGGCAGGAGUGGGUGAUAGUGCACAAUGGGCGGAAGCCUAAUGCAGCGAAGCCGCGGGCGGGGAGAGGGCCUUCGGGUUGUAAGACGCUUUAGCCUGUGACGAAGCGUGAGUGACGGUAGUGGGUUAAGAAGCACCGGCUAGCUACGUG
rnacentral:rRNA from 1 species